CAACCAGGGCUGUUUUCUAUAAUUUAUUUUAAAAUCUUCCAUAAUAUAAUGUGAAAAGAAAAUAAGAUUAUACUGGACAGUUAACAUUCAGUUUAGUUUGUUGAAACACAUUUUUAGGAGAUUUUUAAAGUGUGUUGGGGUGACAUUGGUUAAUAAAAUUGUAUAGGUUUCUAUAACAUAUUAUCUGCAUUUAAUACAUCUGUAUAUAAUAAUACAUCAUUGUGUGUUUACCACCCAAAGUCAAAUGUCCUUCUAUAGGAGGAGAUCUUAACACAUGUCUCUCUGAAACACAUUUCUCAACGUGUGAUUCAUAUAAAUAACAGAAAACUCAGUAUCAUGAGGACAGUACUCUUUCAAGGUCCCUUCAUGGUCAAAAUUAUUUUCAGAAUGUUAGUUGUCCUUCUUUACUUCUUUGCGGUGAAGGUGAGCGGAGCUGCUGGCAGUGGCUCAGCACAGAGCAGGAGAACGGCACUCAACUGUGCUGACAGCCGUCGCGUUCUUUAAAUACGCUCACAGUGAAAAAGAAAAUCCGUUUCCCUAAAUGUCCUUGAUAAAACUGUAAAAAUUAUUAAUUUUAUUGAGUCGCGACCCUUGAGUACACUUUUUUAAUACUCGCUGUGAAUACUCGAAGUGGGAAGUCCCCACGGAGCACCGCGGCUGCAUUCCAGAGCGGGAAAAACACGUGUGCCCUCAGACGGGUUGUGUGAACUAGCUACUUUCUUCAGAGGACAUCUUUCUUAUUUGAAGGAAAAACUGAAAGAUAAACUGUUAUUUUAAAGAUUAGGGGUAUUUGGCAGAUAUUUUCACAAAUAAAUGAAGUGAGCCUUGUCACUUUAAGGAAAACAUUUCACAAUGUUUGUCGUCAGUGAUAAAAUUCAACUGAUUGAGUGUAAGAUGGAAUUUUAGAAAACUUCUGUCUUCCACCUUGAGCUUGACAGCUUCCCAAUACUUAAUGACUUUCCUGAAAAGAUCUAUGGUGAUAUUAACAAAUCUGGUUUUCUAAUAUUGUGUAAUGGAGUGAGUGUACCAACAUCUGGAAGAUCUGUGUAACUUAUCAAUGCACCAGUAUUUUCCAAUAACCAAUGUAUGAUGUCAUAAAAUCAUACAUGGAUAAAGAUCCAAAGUACAAGAUAGAGUAAUAGGUAUUUUUAAAAUUGUGGUAAAAUAUACAUAACAUAAAAUUUGCUGUUUUAACCAUAUUUAGGUAUACAGUUCAACAGCAUUAAGUACAUUCGCAUUGUUGUACAGUCAUCGCCACUGUUUAUCCCAGAAGUCUUUCAUCAUACCAAAAUGAAAUUCUCUACCCCAUUAAUCAGUAACUCCCCACUCCAUCCUCCCUUCAGCGCCUAAUACCCACUGUUCUACUUUCUGUAUGAAACCUGGGCACCUUAUGUACGUAAUGGAUUUUAAUGUGACAGUAUGAAAAGUUCAUUGGUGUAGUUUCGAUUCCACAUUGCAACCAAUCUUUAAGAAACUACCACUUGCUGGAUUGGAGUGCACUUUGAGAAGAAUAUCUAUAGUUCACUGAAAAGUUUAGUAAAAUAACUUUACUCUUUUUCACAAUUAUGGUACAUUUCUAUGUAAGGCUAGAUUUUCCUUAUAUAGUUAACCAAAACAGUAUUUUGCAACAGAAUCAAAUUAAAAAAA